CCUACGGGUGGCAGCAGUAGGGAAUAUUGCUCAAUGGGGGAAACUCUGAAGCAGCAACGCCGCGUGGAGGAUGAAGGUUUUCGGAUUGGAAACUCCUUUUGUUAGAGAAGAUAAUGACGGUAUCUAACGAAUAAUCACCGGCUAACUCCGUUCCAGCAGCCGCGGUAAUACGGAGGGUGCAAGCGUUACUCGGAAUCACUGGGCGUAAAGAGCGCGUAGGCGGGAUAGCAAGUCAGAUGUGAAAUCCUAUGGCUUAACCAUAGAACUGCACUUGAAACUGUUAGUCUAGAGUAUGAGAGAGGUAGGUGGAAUUCUUGGUGUAGGGGUAAAA
rnacentral:rRNA from 1 species